GCUCCGGGAUGCUCCGGGCGGAGGAGCCCAAUGACUUGCUCGACGCCGGCCGCGCGCCCGAGCUGUCGGACGUGCUCGUAGCAGUAGCGCUGCAGGCUGGCGACGCGGCCGAGGCGCCGGCGGCUGGUACGGACGCGUGGUGGGAGCUCGGCCCCGUGCAUGCGGCGUAGGAGGAGGCAGCGGCUGCCUGUGAUGGCGGCGCCGAGGACUCCGGCCGCCUCUUGCGCCUCCAUUUGUCCCGGCAUAGGCAUAGGCAGCCCAUUUCUUGGAGGAAGCUGGCGAAAUUGAGGACGAUCGUAGUGGUUUGUUGCCUACCCCGAAUCACAAAGAGAAACACCAAGGCUUGGCGAUAAAAGAAAGGAGCUUUGUCGUCUCCUAGUUCUUACGCUUCUCGUAGCAUCUCUGAAAACAACACAACCGACGGACCAAUCGAUCAAUCAAGAAGUUAAGUUUCUGACAGCUAGAAGGUCCGGAGACGAGAAAGCAAAAGCCCGACAGAUGGAAGAAACCCCAAAAGAAAAGAAAAAAAACUGAAUCGGAANNN
rnacentral:lncRNA from 1 species